rnacentral:rRNA from 1 species
CGAUGCAGCCUAGCUUGAUGGGUGGAUUAGUGGCGAACGGGUGAGUAACACGUGAGUAACCUGCCCUUGACUCUGGGAUAAGCCUGGGAAACUGGGUCUAAUACCGGAUACGACCAUUGCCCGCAUGGGUUGGUGGUGGAAAGCUUUUGUGGUUUUGGAUGGACUCGCGGCCUAUCAGCUUGUUGGUGAGGUAAUGGCUCACCAAGGCGACGACGGGUAGCCGGCCUGAGAGGGUGACCGGCCACACUGGGACUGAGACACGGCCCAGACUCCUACGGGAGGCAGCAGUGGGGAAUAUUGCACAAUGGGCGAAAGCCUGAUGCAGCGACGCCGCGUGAGGGAUGACGGCCUUCGGGUUGUAAACCUCUUUCAGUAGGGAAGAAGCGAGAGUGACGGUACCUGCAGAAGAAGCGCCGGCUAACUACGUGCCAGCAGCCGCGGUAAUACGUAGGGCGCAAGCGUUAUCCGGAAUUAUUGGGCGUAAAGAGCUCGUAGGCGGUUUGUCGCGUCUGCUGUGAAAGGCCAGGGC